rnacentral:snRNA from 1 species
GUGCUCACUUCGGCAGCACAUAUACUAAAAUUGGAACGAUACAGAGAAGAUUAGCAUGGCCCCUGGGCAAGGAUGACACGAAAUUUAAAAAAAAAAAAAAAAAAAUUUUU